rnacentral:rRNA from 1 species
UACAGAGGUCCCGAGCGUUGUUCGGAUUCAUUGGGCGUAAAGGGUGCGUAGGCGGCGGGGGAAGUCUGAUGUGAAAUCCUGGGGCUCAACCCUGGAACUGCAUUGGAUACUUCCUUGCUAGAGUACUGGAGAGGAAACUGGAAUUUACGGUGUAGCAGUGAAAUGCGUAGAGAUCGUAAGGAAGACCAGUGGCGAAGGCGAGAUUCUGGACAGUUACUGACGCUGAGGCACGAAGGCCAGGGGAGCAAACGGG